rnacentral:rRNA from 1 species
UACGGGGGGGGCAAGCGUUGUUCGGAAUUACUGGGCGUAAAGGGCUCGUAGGCGGCCAACUAAGUCAGACGUGAAAUCCCUCGGCUUAACCGGGGAGCUGCGUCUGAUACUGGAUGGCUUGAGUGUGGGAGAGGGAUGCGGAAUUCCAGGUGUAGCGGUGAAAUGCGUAGAUAUCUGGAGGAACACCGGUGGCGAAGGCGGCAUCCUGGACCAUUACUGACACUGAAAAGCGAAAGCCAGGGGAGCAAACGGG